UGGGCUGUCCCCGUGGCAGCCGGCGCGGGCCGGGCUCUCACCAUGUCUGCGGGCACGGAGGCGGCCAGGCAUCUUCCCCAUCCCUCAGCUGGUUUUGAGUCUCCUGUAUCCACUCUCUGAUGUCGGAGCAAGUGCUGAAGGAUGCGGCCGCAGGUGCCYGGGGCUGUCUCGCUAACAAGGAGCAGAUUCCUCAAAAGCCUGCGGAGGAGACGUAGGAUCUUCAAGCAAAUUCUGGCAGCUGGAUCCCAAUAGCAGGUGAUGGUCACAAACAUGGAUGGGUGUUGGGUAUAAAAGUCUGGAGUUUUCGGGCUCUCUUGGUUGAGUUUGAACCAUUUAGGCUCGAGCAGAUAAACAAACUCAUGAAUAUUUGGGGGUUCUGUUUGUUUUUUA
rnacentral:lncRNA from 1 species